rnacentral:rRNA from 1 species
UCGCGAAUCAUCUAGAUAGAGUUGAUCAUGGCUCAGCCGACUGAACGCUGGCUGGCGAUGCCUAAUACAUGCAAGUCGAGCGAACAGAGAAGGAGCUUGCUCCUUUGACGUUAGCGGCGGACGGGUGAGUAACACGUGGGCAACCUACCUUAUAGUUUGGGAUAACUCCGGGAAACCGGGGCUAAUACCGAAUAAUCUAUUUUACUUCAUGGUGAAAUACUGAAAGACGGUUUCGGCUGUCACUAUAAGAUGGGCCCGCGGCGCAUUAGCUAGUUGGUGAGGUAACGGCUCACCAAGGCGACGAUGCGUA